rnacentral:sRNA from 1 species
GCUGGGCAUGGUGACACAUGCCUGUAAUCCCAGUGGCUCAGGAGGCUGAGGCAGGAGGAUUGCAAAUUCAAAGCCAGCCUCAG